rnacentral:RNase_P_RNA from 1 species
CGAGCCGGUCGGGCUGUCGCCGCGUCAAUUAUGACGGGGAGGAAAGUCCGGGCUUCACAGGGCAUGACGCCGGGUAACUCCCGGGAAGAGCGAUCUUCGGCAAGCGCAACAGAAAGCAGACCGCCUCGCAUGAGGUAAGGGUGAAACGGUGGGGUAAGAGCCCACCGGAUGCGGUGGUGACACCGCAUGCCGGGCAAGCCCCGUCAGAAGCAAGACCAAAUAGGGGAGCCGGCCGGCCCGGCCAAUGGCUCCCGGGUAGGUUGCUUGAAGACGCCGGCAACGGUGUCUCUAGAGGAAUGACAGCCGCGCUCACGCGUACAGAACCCGGCUUAUGACCGACUCGGAUA